GAGACGGGUUAGGAUAGUAGGAAAUGGACCAGUUUUUUUAAUUCCCUGAGUUCAUAAUUUUGUAAGUGGUUUGCCAACUCCUUAAUUUAAUAAAAUUAGUUUAGGACUUUGUGAGCAUGGGCGCUGCAUGUUUACAACAAAACAAUUUUGAAGUUGAAAAACCUAACCCACUUAUGUAAUGUAUUAAACCUUAAAGACAGCUCAACCUCUAAUAAUAAUCUUAUUAAAUUAAACCAUAACAAAUUAAAUAAUGCAGACACAAAAGCACAACUAUCGUCACACGAAGGAAUUCACGAUUAAUACAAUGUAUAUAUGUCGGUAAAAAGAUCUGUAGUAGCAAGCAAUUCAUCACACUAUAUAAUCUGUCAUAUCUACCGUGCACUGCACUGCUAGGUAU
rnacentral:lncRNA from 1 species